UCUGGCCACCCACCAUUUUUAUUUUUUAAUUUUUUUUUGCAGAUUGUGGGGGUUUGAGUCACAUCACUGGAAAUCUAUUGGUGCUAAAAAAGAUGGAUUUUAUGUCAGAUAGCCAACCAAAAACUUUAAAUACAAGGCAGUAUGAGUUGUUAUGGGGAAGAUGCCUUGUAAACCUUAAUGCAUUAUAUAAUUGGGAACUACUGUCGUCACCAUAUUUUACUAAGUGGAAAGCAGAGCUCAGUUGAAUCUGAGCCUCCCAAACACUAAGCUAGCUCUGGAAAUGUGUGUAUAAAUCUCAUCAUUUGUGUGUACGUCCCUGGAAAGUUUUCUGCCAAGCCAGACAGCCAGACAGACAGCCAGACCCCAGGGCCUGCCUACAAGCCCUGCAGGGAGGACGAAGAAGCCCUCCGCAAACAUGGAAUACCAUGGAAACGCCAGAGCAGCAGCUUCAGAGAUGAGAAGAGCCAAGGUUGCCAGGACUGAAAAGCCCAGGAGGAGAGGAGACUACUAAAUAAGAACCGGGCACAGAGCUGGGGCUGCUGGGUCUGCAGCGCUUGGCCCUUUGUAGCUCCUGGGGAAAUCACUGCCUUCGGAUAGCUCUUCCAAAGCCGGGUCUCCUGCUUCCCGCCCCUUGCGUUUGGAAUCAGAGCUACUGCUGAGCAUCUGAAGCCCCCAAAACAAAAUCAGCCUCCCUCAGUCCCUGGCUGAGAGGGAUUGCCUAACACCAGGAAGGGAAAAGACAGAUCCCUGCCUCUUGGCUGGCUACCUGAUCUUGGCUGAGGCUCCCUCUCCAUGGUCUGUAUCCUACCUAGAGGCUCAGGAGGCUGCUGGGUCGGGCUGGGGUGGGGGUGGCAGGUCCUCCAAAAGCAGUGCAGUCAAGAAAGUUCAAGCCAAGAGGGAGCUAAAGGAAGAAAAAAAAAAAAGGGAUGGCUAUCUCA